rnacentral:rRNA from 1 species
UACAUGUGGGGCAAGCGUUGUUCGGAAUUACUGGGCAUAAAGGGUGCGUAGGUGGCUUGUUAAGUCAGGGGUGAAAGUUUUCGGCCCAACCGGAAAAUGGCCUUUGAUACUGGCGAGCUCGAGUGCGUGAGGGGUAACCUGAACGAGCAGUGUAGCGGUGAAAUGCGUAGAUAUUGCUCGGAAGGCCAACGGCGAAGGCAGGUUACUGGUGCGCAACUGACGCUGAGGCACGAAAGCGUGGGGAGCAAACAGG